AACAAAUCUAGUUUCUGAAGAUGGCUGCCCGGACAGUAUAAAUGGUUAGGAAGGCUGGCUGCAAUACCGAAGGACCUGGUUUCGAAUACCGGAGAAGGUAUGGAUGUAAACUGUGUGUCCCCUCAUCAGAGGCCUGCAUUCAGAAAUGUUCCGUCCCGUUUAAUUGGAAACCUCUUAUGACAGUGGGCAGGUAUGCAGCCUAUAAAACAUAUUAUCUGAACUUAAACAAUGUAAAAGUUCACUUUUUCACCAAAUACAACAUUCAUCUUCAAACUUUAGAUGAAGGAAUUGCUGAAGUUAUGAAGAGGUCUUAUUACAAGCAACUUGCAAGAGUUGGAUUUUGUGCAAUUGAAAAGAAGACAGAAAUGCAAACGUAAGUCUGUUUGAUGCAGUCAAAGCUAUCGGUACACCCUCAAAGUCCAUGUCAUCACAAUGCAUACAGAACUGCUUCAGCAGCUUGGAGACAAAGACAAAUAUCCUGUUGAUUUAAUUUUAAGAAAUGAAAUAGUCUAUAAGACAUUGAAAAUCUCAGUGUUAGUUCUGAGUAGGUUAUUAGUGCGGAUGAAAAUAUUGCUGUGUGUGCUUCAGUGGAAAGUACAAGCAGUUGUGCCUCAGGUGCAAGAAAUGUCAUCAGAAGAAAGUGUGAAGGACAAGUACCAUUUUACUUACCAAGAAAUGUGAAAUGCUCUGAACACUAGAUUAUUUCGCUGCAGCAUCCAAAUAGACCACAAGUUUUAGGAAGCCAAGAAUAUUGCUGGAACUUACCAGGCAUUUUUGUUCUCUUCUGCAACAAUGCCAUAUACCAGAAUUUUUCACCAGAAAUGAACUGCAAGUGCAUCUUUUCAAGUUACAGUGCAGUAAUUAAUGUACUGUAGAGUUUUCUAUGACAACAUGCAUAAUAUGUACUUAUGUAACUGUAUACUGAAAAUGAUUUGUGUCAGAAAAAGCAUUUCAAAAAUAAAGUUUGAGUCUCCAGUUAAAAUGAA